rnacentral:rRNA from 1 species
GUAAACAAUAUUUUGUAAACUUUUGAUAAUAAUAAUUAAAAAAAAAAAAAGCACGCCCGAUCUCGGAAGCUAAGCAGGGUCGGGCCUGGUUAGUACUUGGAUGGGAGACCGCCUGGGAAUACCAGGUGCUGUAAGCU